rnacentral:lncRNA from 1 species
AUCAAGUAUAUAUAUGUGUGUGAUAUAUAAUUUAUUAAAUUGAAAAACGGCAGGAUUCAGAAUCGUGGGAAGCAGUAAGGCACGAUGAAGAGAGUGAGAUACAUGACAGAGUUCUGAAAGUGAAAACAAAUGAUUAUGGAAGAUAUGAUCCUGCGCCAGCUUUCGUUAAGCCUCCUUUCAAACUCAUUCCCAACUAAUGUUGAUCAAACGCCAUCACCACCGACAUCAUCAUCGUAUAAUAUAUCUCUAUAUAUAUAGUAUGCAAUAUAUGUGAAUCAUAAAUAACUAGUGUGUCACAAAAAUAUAUAGUAAUGAAUGUAUGCAUGAAUUUAUACGAUGAAUGUUGGGUUUUGUAUGUCAGGCUUUUCAAGCCACAAAUAUAUAUAUGUAGGAUGCUAUAUGUGAAAUAUUAUGACUUUAUGAGGUGCCUCGUUUUAAUUUUGCAUCUAAUUAUGUGGGUAUGUUAAACGUACAUAGGUUUAAUUUCAUGAAUAUUUUAUUAUUA